GUGGAGGAAGGGGCCCAAAAUGGCGGCGGGCCUGCCCCGGUGCAUCAUGGGAGGCGCAAAGGCUCAUGGGAGGCUGUGGGCCUCUAUGGGGAUUCUGUGGGGCUCUAUGGGGUUUCUAUGGGGCUUUAUGGGGUCUCUGUGGGUCUCUAUGGGGCUUCUAUGGGUCUCUUUAGGGUUUGUAUGGGGCUCUAGGGGGUUUCUGUGGGUCUCUAUGGGGCUUUAUGGGGUCUCUAUGGGGUUUCUAUGGGUCUCUGUGUGGUCUCUAUGGAGCUCUGUGGGUCUCUAUGGGGUUUCUAUGGGGCUCUGGGGGAUUCUAUGGGGUCUCUAGGUCUCUAUGGGGCUCUAUGGAGUUUCUGUGGGGCUUUAUGGGGUCUCUGGGUUUCUCUGGGGCUCUAUGGGGCUUCUAUGAGGCUCCGUGGGUCUCUAUGGGGUUUCUAUGAGGCUCUGUGGGUUUCUAUGGGGCUCUAUGGGGUUUCUAUGGGGCUCUGGGGGAUUUUAUGGGGUCUCUAGGUUUCUAUGGGGCUCUAUGGAGUCUCUGUGGGGCUUUAUGGGGUCUCUGUGGGUCUCUAUGGGGCUCUAUGGGGUCUCUAUGGGGCUUCUAUGGGGCUCUGUGGGUCUCUAUGGGGUUCCUAUGGGGCUCUGUGGGUCUCUCUGGAGUUUCUAUGGGUCUCUCUGGGGCUCUGUGGGUCUUUAUGGGGUUUCUAUGGGGCUCUGUGGGUCUCUAUGAGGUCUCUAUGGGUCUCUAUGGGGUUUCUGCUGGGCUCUGUGGGUCUCUGUGGGGUUUCUAUGGGGCUCUGUGGGGUUUCUAUGGGGCUCUGUGGGGCUUCUGUGGGUCUCUAUGGGGUCUCUGGGGCUCUAUGGGAUUUAUGGGGCUCUAUGGGGUCUCCGUGUGUCCCUAUGGGUCUGGCUGUGCUCGGUUGGUUUCUAUGGGGCGCCCCAUAUCCCCCCCCCCCCCUUUUAGAGCCCCGCCCCCGAAGCGUUCCCUCCCGGAAGCGGUGGCGGCCGCGCGGCUGCGGGCGUUGGGGCUGCACCACGACCACCGAUAUGGCGGAAAUGGGCUGCCCCAGGUCCCCCACCCCCAGACGUCGGCGAUGUCACCCUGAGCCCCCCCCACGCUCUGCCCCACGGCGCUAUGGGGUGCCCCACAACCGCCGCCGUUGAACUGAAGCUGAAAGGAGCCCCCCCACCCCCGACCCCCCCCAGCCCCACAUUUGGGGACCCUGAGCCCCACAGAUGCCACGUGUGGGGCUGGAGGGGUGGGGAAGGGAAAUGUGUGGGGCAGACCCCGAUGUGUGGGGCUGCAGCUGUGCUCUUUUUGCCCCUAAAUUGCUGUUUUUCACCCCAAAAUAAAGGAUAAAUGGGUUUGAGAGAUGUGG
rnacentral:lncRNA from 1 species